rnacentral:rRNA from 1 species
GCGGUGCGAGGCUACCAUGCAGUCGAGCGGUAGAGAGGUGCUUGCACCUCUUGAGAGCGGCGGACGGGUGAGUAAUGCCUAGGAAUCUGCCUGGUAGUGGGGGAUAACGCUCGGAAACGGACGCUAAUACCGCAUACGUCCUACGGGAGAAAGCAGGGGACCUUCGGGCCUUGCGCUAUCAGAUGAGCCUAGGUCGGAUUAGCUAGUUGGUGAGGUAAUGGCUCACCAAGGCGACGAUCCGUAACUGGUCUGAGAGGAUGAUCAGUCACACUGGAACUGAGACACGGUCCAGACUCCUACGGGAGGCAGCAGUGGGGAAUAUUGGACAAUGGGCGAAAGCCUGAUCCAGCCAUGCCGCGUGUGUGAAGAAGGUCUUCGGAUUGUAAAGCACUUUAAGUUGGGAGGAAGGGCAUUAACCUAAUACGUUAGUGUUUUG